AUGACUCCAGUUCGCUAUACGCGCAGAGGGGCGGAUAACGCGCGGACCCCGCCUUCCCCAACCGAGUGUGAGUUCCAGUCGCUGGGGAGGACCUGGUGGCCCCCUGACCUUGGACGAGCCAUAUUGGACGCCCCGGCGCCGUCCAGUCUUCCACGCUGCCAACUCCGCCGCUCCCGCCCCGAACUGCGGGUAGGUCCAGGCCGCCAGGCCCCGCCUCACCGGCUCCAGCCCUGA